rnacentral:lncRNA from 1 species
UGGUUAUCUCAGUUAUCGGGUUUGCUUGUUCGGUCCCUUCUGGGCUCUUUUUGGCAAGCUAUGCUUGCACCAAUAAGCUCAUGAGUAAGCUGCUGCCGGGGUCUACUCCGCCUCACUUUUUAUUAGAUUAUGGAACAAAGUAUAGAGAUGAAGAAUUUGAGAAUUAUGAUAUUGGAGAACAAGGAUACGUGGAGCUUAAAGGACAUAUUGAUAUGUGGAAGGAGCAAGAUGAAAUUGAUGGAGGGAAGGCUUUGGUGAGUGAUGAAUAUGAGCAAGGAGGUUUCCAUAUUAAUGAUGCGAAUGAGAUUGUGGAAGAAAAUGAGUAUCAAGAAGGUGUUGGUGAGUGUGAAGAUGAAAUGGAGGAAGCAGCAUUUGGAAUUGAGGUGAAAUUUGAAUCAAUUAGAGAGGAAGAUGGGAAUCCGGCGCCAGAAGGAACCCAGGGUCAGCUUCCUGUAGAUGAGGUGCAUGCUGUUGUUGUUGAAAUUGCUGGAGAUGAGACAAGUGGCAUAAUUGUUGAAGAAAAAGAGGCGCUGGCAUUUACUGUCACAAAUAUAGCCAUAGAAUUAUGUCAGAAUAGAGACAUUGAGGAAGAGCAGGAAUUAGUGAGAGAGACCAGGGGAUUAUUAGAAAAAAUCAGGGAGGAGGGUAUGACUGCUAAUGGAGACAAUGAGAAGCAGAGUGUAGAAAAACUGUCUGGAGUUGCAGGGGAAGGAGACAGGAAAGUUGAAGAAAUUGGGUUGCCUUCUGAAAAUAAAAAUUAUUAUGGCACCGUCAGAAUUGAACAUGCUGAAGGUUUGUUAGGUAAAAGAGAUGGCGAUAACAUUUUGGAAUCAGGAAAAUCUGAAGUUGAGAAAGAUGGAGCAACUAAUAGUG